rnacentral:rRNA from 1 species
ACGAACGCUGGCGGCGUGCUUAACACAUGCAAGUCGAACGGUAAGGCCUUCGGGUACACGAGUGGCGAACGGGUGAGUAACACGUGGGUGAUCUGCCCUGCACUUCGGGAUAAGCUUGGGAAACUGGGUCUAAUACCGGAUAUGAUCGCAUUCUUCAUGGGGUGUGGUGGAAAGCUUUUGCGGUGUGGGAUGGGCCCGCGGCCUAUCAGCUUGUUGGUGGGGUAAUGGCCUACCAAGGCGACGACGGGUAGCCGGCCUGAGAGGGUGACCGGCCACACUGGGACUGAGAUACGGCCCAGACUCCUACGGGAGGCAGCAGUGGGGAAUAUUGCACAAUGGGCGCAAGCCUGAUGCAGCGACGCCGCGUGAGGGAUGACGGCCUUCGGGUUGUAAACCUCUUUCAGUAGGGACGAAGCGCAAGUGACGGUACCUAUAGAAGAAGGACCGGCCAACUACGU